rnacentral:rRNA from 1 species
CCUACGGGAGGCAGCAGUGGGGAAUUUUGGACAAUGGGCGCAAGCCUGAUCCAGCAAUGCCGCGUGCAGGAUGAAGGCCUUCGGGUUGUAAACUGCUUUUGUACGGAACGAAACGGCUUCUCCUAAUACGAGAGGCUAAUGACGGUACCGUAAGAAUAAGCACCGGCUAACUACGUGCCAGCAGCCGCGGUAAUACGUAGGGUGCAAGCGUUAAUCGGAAUUACUGGGCGUAAAGCGUGCGCAGGCGGUUAUAUAAGACAGAUGUGAAAUCCCCGGGCUCAACCUGGGACCUGCAUUUGUGACUGUAUAGCUAGAGUACGGUAGAGGGGGAUGGAAUUCCGCGUGUAGCAGUGAAAUGCGUAGAUAUGCGGAGGAACACCGAUGGCGAAGGCAAUCCCCUGGACCUGUACUGACGCUCAUGCACGAAAGCGCGGGGAGCAAACAGGAUUAGAUACCCUGGUAGUCCACGCCCUAAACCGAUGUCAACUGGUUGUUGGGUCUUCACUGACUCAGUAACGAAGCUAACGCGUGAAGUUGACCGCCUGGGGAGUACGGCCGCAAGGUUGAAACUCAAAGGAAUUGACGG